UACGGGGGGAGCAAGCGUUGUUCGGAUUUACUGGGCGUAAAGGGCGGGUAGGCGGCCACCGCAAGUCGACUGUGAAAUCUCCGGGCUUAACCCGGAAAGGUCAGCCGAUACUGCGGGGCUAGAGUGCAGAAGGGGCAACUGGAAUUCUCGGUGUAGCGGUGAAAUGCGCAGAUAUCAGGAGGAACACCAAUUGCGAAGGCAGCUCGCUGGGACGUUACUGACGCUGAGACGCGAAAGCGUGGGGGAGCAAACAGG
rnacentral:rRNA from 1 species